rnacentral:tRNA from 1 species
GAGGGUAUAGCUCAGUGGUAUAGUGCAUGCUUAGCAUGCAUGAGGUUCUGGGUUCAAUCCCCAAUGCUGCCG